AUUGAACGCUGGCGGCAUGCCUUACACAUGCAAGUCGAACGGCAGCACGGGUGCUUGCACCUGGUGGCGAGUGGCGAACGGGUGAGUAAUACAUCGGAACAUGUCCUGUAGUGGGGGAUAGCCCGGCGAAAGCCGGAUUAAUACCGCAUACGAUCUACGGAUGAAAGCGGGGGACCUUCGGGCCUCGCGCUAUAGGGUUGGCCGAUGGCUGAUUAGCUAGUUGGUGGGGUAAAGGCCUACCAAGGCGACGAUCAGUAGCUGGUCUGAGAGGACGACCAGCCACACUGGGACUGAGUCACGGCCCAGACUCCUACGGGAGGCAGCAGUGGGGAAUUUUGGACAAUGGGCGAAAGCCUGAUCCAGCAAUGCCGCGUGUGUGAAGAAGGCCUUCGGGUUGUAAAGCACUUUUGCCCGGAAAGAAAUCCUUGGCCCUAAUACGGUCGGGGGAUGACGGUACCGGAAGAAUAAGCACCAGCUAACUACGUG
rnacentral:rRNA from 1 species